rnacentral:rRNA from 1 species
AUACGUAGGUCCCGAACGUUGCGCGAAAUUACUGGGCGUAAAGGGUCCGUAGGCGGUCUGGUAAGUGGAAGGUGAAAGCCUGGGGCUCAAUUCCAGAAUUGCCUUCCAAACUGCUGGACUUGAGGCAGGGAGAGGUCGGCGGAAUUCCCGGUGUAGUGGUGAAAUGCGUAGAUAUCGGGAGGAACACCAGUGGCGAAGGCGGCCGACUGGAACUGUCCUGACGCUGAGGGACGAAAGCCAGGGGAGCGAACCGGAUUAGAAACCCUAGUAGUCC